AACUUCCAUUCUUGAUUCCAGCGUGUCACACACACAAUUGAAUUCUUAACAGCUGCCAUUCAAAAGAACUGCGGAGGACCAUUUGAAAGUAAUAUUUUGCUCUGUGUGACAUCUCAUUUUUUUCCCCUCAGAAAUCAUAAUUUUUUUACACACCUCGUAGUCUUCCUAACAGGAAACCAGCUCAGCCUGUCAUUUUGAUUGGGGAGGAACCUUGUUUUCCAGGUCACUGGCUUGAAUCCUGGAGACAAGAUAUUCAUGAGGGACCUGUAUGGGGAAUUUACAUCUCGGAGCAGAGUUUUCCUCUCCAUUUGCCAGCAUGCCAGGCUCACAGAGGGAUCUGGAAGAGGAACAAGCAACCCACUGUUCUCUGAAAAACUGCUGUUUCAAGAGAAAAUUCAGCAUAAAAAAGUAUCAAUAAAGCAACAGGAUACUGCAAUAGAAGUGUAUGGCUCAUAGAAUUCUGGAUUCCAUUGUGACCAUGAGUGGAGACAAUGCCAACUCACUGAAUAAGGAAGAAUUGAAAAAUAGGAACAUUCCAGAUCUUUAUAAUAUCACUGAGCUGCUGCAAACCUCCUUUCCACCAAUACCUCUUGUCAUUUACAAUAAUUAAUUGUCUAUAUUGUUAGAAUUGUCUACAUUAAGCUUUAUCAUCUAGCUUAAUAACUGUCUAUGUUAAGCUAUUGUUGGAGCAUUCUGUUAAAUAAAGCAAAUGUUCUCCACAGUUGCAUCAGAGUGGCACUGGAAGUUUAAGUGAAAUUGCAGAAAUCAUUGUUAUGAAUGUGGGUAUUCUGGGUGAGCAAAGAAGAAUCAGGUGUGUUCUUCUUAAUGGGUCUAAAAAAGUAUAGUCUUAUAGUCCCUGGUGAACAUGGCCCAUUUUACUCUUCUCACAUUUCAGCCCUUGCAA
rnacentral:lncRNA from 1 species